rnacentral:lncRNA from 1 species
UGGACACAAAACAAAAAUAAUAUGGUAGAAUGGAUGCCGUUUUGACAGUUUCCUCAUCCCUAAUCAUUCUAACGAGAGUAGCUUCUGGAUUCGGGAUGUUCUAUCAAUGAGUCAUUAUAGGGAUUAUUUUCGAGCCUGAGGAGUUCGACGAUGGUGUUGUUCGGAUGGUUAUGACAAUACAUGCAAACAAGAGGAAUAGGGCACGGAUCCGGCUGUGAAAGAUGUUCGAUGGAACUAUCAGAGUUUGGGACUGAUGUUCGGUAGUACCGGACUUGGAAGAAAAACUUUUAUCUCUGUAGGAACCUUAGACUCAAAAGGUUAUAGGUCACUAUUGAAGAGGCUUCUAAAAGUUUUUCGAGAUGCAUGAUUGCCUAUGAAGGCACUCGAAAAGGAAAUCCUAUAUUUGACAUUUGCGGAGCCACAUAGAAUUCUUCUUUGGAGUGGAGACACUGGGUUGUUACGUUAGCGACCAAUUUCUCAAACGGUUCGGUAUACCUAUUGAAACAUAAAGAUGAGGGUUCUUGCGCAUAUUUCUGAAUUGGAAGUAAACUGGUGGAGACUCAGACAGGCAGAAAAAUCGAAGAAGCUCCAAUUUGAUAAUGGAGGCCGAAAUAUAGAUAUGAUCCAUUCCUCAAAGUAUGCCGAGAGGAUGAAUAGUCAAACAACAUCAUUAGUUCACGUACGCCUUAGCAAAAUUCGAAGAUGGAAGGAAGGCAUGAACAGUACUCUGGUGACGACGAAAGUUCGAUGUGUUGUCCACGCUGGAUUGAGCAAGGCAUUUGGGCAAGAGGAAGGUGACUAUGCCUUUCACCCAUUCGAAUAGAUUACCAGCACUGGGAUUGGUGGAAAAAAAACACCAAUGGAGGUAUGGUCUGGAUAAACCUAUUUCAGAUUAUGAUUAUUUACACGUAUUUGAUGUCUGCAUUAUGUUUAUGUGACGGAAUCUAAGUUAGAGCCUAGAGCCAAGAAGUCAUAUUCUUGGGCUUAGUUAUGGUACAAAGGCAUACAGACUUGGUGUCCCGAAUGAAGAAAGUUGUCUGAGCAGGAUGUUAUUUGACGAGUCUGGGAUGUUACAUUUUGAGAAAGAUAAUCUGAGUUCCAACAUCUACACACAGGUGGAGCUUGAGAGUCAAGUAGUGCCAACUAAGAUUGUUCAGAAAGUUGAUAUUCCUGGACAAGGAAUCUGAUACACACUAGAUCUGAAAGAGGCUUUUAAACUCACAACCAACAGAUUCCAUCACGAUAUGAUCUCUCGCCAAACGUGUGUUGAGAUAGACCCAAGAGAAGGCCGGGACAGAAUAGUAUAACUCAGAGUACGAGUUCGAUUCACAAGGAGUUGGUAGUUAAGGCUGAAGGAGGAAAAUAGUUUCCUCUUAAUUACUCUCAAAGGAGGACAAAAUAUUUCUAAAAAAAUAAAAAUUGAUUAUUUUUGAAUUUGUUCGAGUUCUCACUAUUUGACAAAAUACAAAUAAUAGCUUGAAUGAAAUUAUUUGUAAAUAAUGUGAAAUUAAUCUCGGAAUUAAUUAUUCAAAUGAUAUUGUGUCUUGGAAUUCCAAAGGUAAGAUGUUUUAUAACUCAAAUCCUUCAACUUCGUCAUGAGUCUCGGAUUCGGGAGAUUUAGCGAUAUAUAAAAACCAUUUGCUUUCGUUAAAACUUUAUUUUCUAGAUUAGAUCUGGUUGUUAAAUUCAAAGAUGAAUUACCAAGAUUCACGCAAUGCUUAUACUAAGACUAGGCUAGGCAUAAGCGUUUGCCGAAAAAUAAUCAAUCAUCCAAGGUUUUUAAUAAUUUAUAGAACAGAAGAUAAAAUGAUAAAAAUGAAUAUAUAACUUGAAACCCAAAAUCUCAAAUCCUUUUCAUCAGACUUUUAAACUAAUCUUCACAAUCAACCCCAAAUUUUAAGAAUUUAGUACUCAUCUCAUUUAUGAAUAUUUUGAAAUAUUAAAUAUAAAUACAAUUACAAAUUAAAAUAGGUAAACUCUACAACAAUUUAGAAUACCUUGAAGAUGAAGCAUAUAUGAAGAAUAUGGAAGACAACAAAAAAAUUAAAUUAAAUAAAUAGCAAAGCAAUAAUAGAUAAUAAAAAGGCAGAGGAAUCAGAGUAUUAGCAUUCAAGUAAUGUAAACAAUAAAAAUAAAAGAAAAGUAACAGAAAAUGAAAACCAAUUUUAACCCAGCCAUUUAGACAAAAUAAAGCCAGUAACUUAGCGAUUAAAAACCGUCCGAAGGCGAUAGAAUGGUCCAAUAUAGUGGUAAAGAUAAGCGAUAAAUUAAGCAGUAGUAAAACGUACGGCAUUGGCUGAUAGAAUCGUCCAUUGUGGUGGUUCAAUAACAAUUAAAUUAAGCGUAAAAAGAUAAGCUAAUAUAUCUUAUAAACAAUUAAAACUGUUCGGGAUGCUAAAUAAGAGAAAAAAAAAAAUUAGAACUUUGGAAACUAAACACUACUGAAUACAAAUAUGAGAAGGAGAGAAGAGAGAAAUUAAAGAUCUAUAAUUACACUUUUAUGUAUAAUUAACUAGUAGACACCAGAGAAUUAAUUUGAGAUCUGCUCGAUUUACUUCCAGUGAUUGAGGGAGUCCGUUUGUACUUACAAAGAUGCCAUACAGAGUACUUGAAAAUCUAAAUGGAAGAAGGCUAUGGAUGAAGAAAUGAAGUCAGUUCAAGAACAGCACUUGAGUGGUAAACUGUCUAAGGAAAGAAAGCGAUCGGUUGCAAAGGGUAAUUUGCCAAAAAAAAGAAUAUACUCCAGAAUCAGAUCCAAAGCUAGAAUUGGUGGGCGAAAAGGCUACGUCAGAAGAGAAAGAAGGGAUUAGAUAUAAUGAGGUAUUUCCUCCUGUUGUAAGCAUCUUGUUAUACUUGUCUUUACUAAAACUUUGGUUGCUCAGUUUGAUUUGAGUUAGUUCAACUCGAUGUCAAAAUCACUUCCUGCAUGGUGAUUGAUGAGGAGAUAAAAUGGCCAACCAGAUGGGUUUCAAAUAUCUGGCAAAGACAUUUGGCAUGUCAGUUAGGAAUUUUUUAAUGGCGUGAAGUAGUUACUCGACAGUGGUAUAAACGAUUUGAUAGUUAAUGGUAGAGCACAAAUAAUACAGAGUUAGUUUGAUCAGGGUGAUUUCCGCAACUCCACGAUGCGUUCUAUGAUAUAUUUGCUCUAAUUGUUGAUGAAUGUUGAUGCAUCUAAGAGCAAAAGUGGAGAUUGACAGGAAUGAAAGCUCAACUCAGUAGGAAUGGAAUGAACGAUCUUGUUGGAAGCCAGAAAAUUCUGGGAAUGGAGAUGAGAUUAAGAGGACAGAGUGAAAGGAAGUUUGGUUGGACUUAGACUCAGAUUGAAGAAGAAAGUUCUAUAGAAAUUAGAUGGAUAGUUCAGCUAAACCUGUUUUUGUAUUACUCCGUUGGCCUCUACUUUAAAGUGAGGGCUUCUAUGUCUCCUGCACAGAUGAUGAGCGAAAGCAGUGUUUUAAACCGAAUCGAUCGGCCGAUUCGACCGGUUGAAACUGUCUCGACCGGCCAAAAAGCACGGUUCCGGUCAACCCUUUAACCGAGGUCAACACCUAUAAAACUGGCCUUGACCGUCACAACCGCGAUUUCAAUGCGGAAACCCGUCGAACCGGAGCGGGUUUUGACGAACUACACGGGUGACGAAAGAGGAAAAGGAUGUUUGAAGUGAGAGAGGGGUGGAGUGGUCCAUGGUGGGUGGUGUGGAUGAUCGGUCCGACGGGUGGUAGAUUGUUUUGCUAGAGGGUAGUGGAUUGUGCCGAUGGUGGUGGGGACUCGGGAUGAGAGGAAGAGGAAGAGAGUGAGAGGGAGUGGGAGUGGAGUAGUGUGGUCCAUGCCUCCAUGGUGUGGUGGGGAUCGGCACUAGUGAUGGUGGUCGGCGGAGAGGGCCUGGGUGACCGUGGAGUCGUGUUUUGAGACGGUGAGAGAGAGAGAUGGGUCACUGAAUUUCAAUUUCAAAAUAUGAGGAGAGAGGAGAAGAGAAGAGAAUGAGAGACCGGGAUUGAUUUGGGGGUUUCCCCAAAUCACACUUUGAACCCUGCAAUUUCAAGAUUCUAAUUAUUUUGACUUGCCAUGUUUAAAGUAUUUUAAUUAAACCCAAAUCAUAAUUAUUUUUAUUUAUAUUUAUGAUUAUUUUAAAUUAUUUAUGAGUAACGGUCGGAUAACGGUUCCAAUACGGUUGACCGACGGUUGAACCAGUAAAACCCUGACCCGGUCAGUUUUUUAGUUCGCUCACCGGUCGGGUUUUCAAAACAUGAGCGAAAGCAUAUGGCGAAUGGUUCUUAUGCCUAUGUUGUUGGUGGUGCUUUGAGUAUGUUAGGGUUGUGUAUAAGACCAGAUAUUUCACAUGAUGUUAGACAUGGUUAGAAAGAUAUAUGCAUGACCCCAGGGAAAGUUACUGACAGGCGUGAAUGAAUAGAUUCUGAGGUAUAUCAUGAUUACAGUUGAUGGUGGUUUGAAAUUGCAGAGGGACGACAAGCAAGCAAAUCAGUUGGUUAUUUAGAUUAUGAUUAUGUGGUUGAUAUGAUAAACGCCGACGAGCGACUGGAUAUAUUUUUACUAUGGCUGGGUGGACUGGUUGGUUGGCGUUCUACUCUUCAGUCUACAGUGCUUUGUCAACGACUGAAGCUGAGUACAUGGUCGUGACAGAAGCUUUUAAGGAAGCUAUUUGGUUACAUGGUUGAGUCAAUGACUUGGGAAUUCUCAGGAGUAGAUUAGAGAUUUAUGGACAGUUAGAGUGCGAUCUGUUUAGCGACGAAAUUCUGUUCAAAUGCUCGCUCCCAAGCACAUUGAUGUCCGAUUCUAUUUUGUUCGAGAAAAUUCUGAAUGAAGGAGAUAUAUUGCUUGAGAAGAUCAAUACUGCGGACAACCCUGUUAAUGAUGACAAAGGUUGUAUGUGGGAUCAAGUUUCAACACUGCUUGGACUUGAUCAAUAUCUCCCCGUAUAGCAUGGCACCAAGGCGCAUUGGUGGCAACCUACUCUCUUGGGGAAGUUUUGCCAAGGAUGAAGU